rnacentral:rRNA from 1 species
ACCUUAACCUGCUAAAUAGCCAGGCCCGCUUUGGCGGGUCGCCGGGCUUCUUAGAGGGACUAUCGGCUCAAGCCGAUGGAAGUUUGAGGCAAUAACAGGUCUGUGAUGCCCUUAGAUGUUCUGGGCCGCACGCGCGCUACACUGACAGAGCCAACGAGUUCAUUUCCUUGUCCGAAAGGUCUGGGUAAUCUUGUUAAACUCUGUCGUGCUGGGGAUAGAGCAUUGCAAUUAUUGCUCUUCAACGAGGAAUGCCUAGUAAGCGCAUGUCAUCAGCAUGCGUUGAUUACGUCCCUGCCCUUUGUACACACCGCCCGUCGCUACUACCGAUUGAAUGGCUCGGUGAGGCCUUCGGACUGGCCCAGGGAGGUCGGCAACGACCACCCAGGGCCGGAAAGUUGGUCAAACCCGGUCAUUUAGAGGAAGUAAAAGUCGUAACAAGGUCUCCGUAGGUGAACCUGCGGAGGGAUCAUUACAAGUUGACCCCGGCCCUCGGGCCGGGAUGUUCACAACCCUUUGUUGUCCGACUCUGUUGCCUCCGGGGCGACCCUGCCUCCGGGCGGGGGCCCCGGGUGGACACUUCAAACUCUUGCGUAACUUUGCAGUCUGAGUAAAUUUAAUUAAUAAAUUAAAACUUUCAACAACGGAUCUCUUGGUUCUGGCAUCGAUGAAGAACGCAGCGAAAUGCGAUAAGUAAUGUGAAUUGCAGAAUUCAGUGAAUCAUCGAAUCUUUGAACGCACAUUGCGCCCCCUGGUAUUCCGGGGGGCAUGCCUGUUCGAGCGUCAUUUCACCACUCAAGCCUCGCUUGGUAUUGGGCGACGCGGUCCGCCGCGCGCCUCAAAUCGACCGGCUGGGUCUUCCGUCCCCUCAGCGUUGUGGAAACUAUUCGCUAAAGGGUGCCGCGGGAGGUCACGCCGCAAAACAACCCCAUUUCUAAGGUUGACCUCGGAUCAGGUAGGGAUACCCGCUGAACUUAAGCAUAUCAAUAAGCGGAGGAAAAGAAACCAACAGGGAUUGCUCUAGUAACGGCGAGUGAAGCAGCAAUAGCUCAAAUUUGAAAUCUGGCGCCUUCGGCGUCCGAGUUGUAAUUUGUAGAGGAUGCUUCUGGGCAGCCACCGACCUAAGUUCCUUGGAACAGGACGUCAUAGA